AAAAAACCCAGACCUAAAUCAACUAAAAGCUAUAAGAAUUGCAUCAAUCUCCCACUAUUCGUUAAUUUUGACAACCAAUCAGCUAUAGUACAGAAACAAGAAUCCCAAAUAUUACCAUUUUACAACCCAUGUACUUACCAGCAAGUAAUCAAUUCAAAAAACCCAUCAAAAUCCCAGAAGUAAAAUCCACCAAAAACCAUAAAUAUCUGAGGAUCAACAAAAUUCAUAUAAUAAAGGUACAACCUUGGUCCUUGACAUACUCAGCAAAGGUGUUGCAGUCUAAGCAGAGAGCCAGAUCAGUUAAUCCCAGACUCUCACACUCUUUGGUGCUAAGUUGCAUUUGCACAUGAGCAGACCCACCAGUAACAAAACCCAAUGUAUGGUCAUUUCCUGCUACAGAAGUAGGAUUAGGAUUAGAUGUACCCCAAUAAUAACAUAUUCAUAUAAAAAAAAAGAACCUUUAAAGUUGCUUAGAAGAAAGAAGAAUCCACAAAAAAAAAAGGCGAUAACAGAAACAAGAGAAGAAAUCUAUUGAGAGAGUAUAAAAGCUAGUUUUACCAACAGAAAUUAAUCAAUAAAAAUAAUGUCACUGAUGAAAUUUCCCCAAAGGGAACAAAACAUUGUACAUACACGUGGAAGCAAAUUCUAGAGAAGUUCCUAUGCAUUAUUUUCUAAUUUUUCUUUUUUUAAAAAAAAAUGCAAUAUUGGGUCCAACAUCAAAUGUCAAUUGUAUGACGCACAGGAAUACUAUUUUCUGAACAUAAUUUUUCCAGUCAAAGAUCGAGCCAAGUUUUUUUAGUAAUUUAAAAGAGGAAAGAUGGUAUCUUCAUAGUAGAUUAAAUGGAUUUUGCUUUUGAAACUCCAUUUAUGUAAUUCGUAUAACUAUGUAUCUCAUGAAUCAUGAACUGAUCAAAACAUCUUCGAGGAAGUUAGUCAUAAUAAUGAUUUCAUUUUGCACGUUAAAACCACAAAACCAGAAAAAUCGACUAUGAAAUAAAGAUUUCAUCAUACAGCUUCCCAAAUCUUGACAUUAUGAAGAAUACCAAGUAGUUUAUAUAACAGAUUCAUUAUGUUUCCCAGCCAAGGGAAAAAAAGAAGAUACAGAAGAAAAAGAUACUUGUAUCUAAUUUACUUUGACAGACACAAUAAAACCCAAAACACAAAACACUGGAAGAAAUUUGCUCAUUCUUCCAAUCACUUUUACCUUUAUCCUUUCUCUGACAACAACUUCAAUAAACAAAAAUAGGCUAAAUUAGGUGAGAGAAACCAUUUAUAGAAAAAGACUAUGGUUUAUAGUAUAAAUAGUAGAACACAAAUAAAUAUUACCAGCUUUAACUACUUCUUAGAGAAGUCAACUUCAAGUUUUCAUAUUCCUUCCUGUAACAACAACCACUAAUAUACUUGGAAAAGUAGCACCAAAAGAACAAAAAAAAAAAGGAAAAAAAAUCAUCCAUCAAAUCCUAAACCAGGCGUGGAAGAGGGAAAAAUUAAAUCAGAUUGAUGCAGCAAACUUAC
rnacentral:lncRNA from 1 species